rnacentral:rRNA from 1 species
CCCUUAGAUGUUCUGGGCUGCACACGUGCUACACUGGCAGGUUCAGCGAGCUUCAUGCCCUGAUCUGAAAGGAAUGGGAAAUCUUUUCAAAACCUGCCGUGCUUGGGAUAGAUGUUUGCAAUUAUUCAUCUUCAACGAGGAUUGCCUUGUAAGCGCUCGUCAUCAGCGUGCAUUGAAUACGACCCUGUAUUCUGUACACACCGCCCGUCGCUCCUACCGAUUGAAGUUUUCGGUGAGUUGACAGGAGGAUUUUUUUGAAACUGGUUCGCCAGUGGAUUUUAGAUCCAAAUGCCAACGAAUCGAUGGCUUUAGAGGAAGGAAAAGUCGUAACA